rnacentral:rRNA from 1 species
GUACAAGCCAAAUUAAGGUGAAACCGCGAAAGGCUCAUUAAAUCAGUUAUGGUUCCUUAGAUCGUACCCACAUUUACUUGGAUAACUGUGGUAAUUCUAGAGCUAAUACAUGCAAACAGAGCUCCGACCGGAGACGGAAGGAGCGCUUUUAUUAGAUCAAAACCAAUCGGUGGCGGGCUUGCUCGUCAUCGUACAUUUUGGUGACUCUGAAUAACUUUUUGCUGAUCGCACGGUCUAGCACCGGCGACGCAUCUUUCAAAUGUCUGCCUUAUCAACUGUCGAUGGUAGGUUCUGCGCCUACCAUGGUUGUAACGGGUAACGGGGAAUCAGGGUUCGAUUCCGGAGAGGGAGCCUGAGAAACGGCUACCACAUCCAAGGAAGGCAGCAGGCGCGCAAAUUACCCACUCCCGGCACGGGGAGGUAGUGACGAAAAAUAACGAUACGGGACUCAUCCGAGGCCCCGUAAUCGGAAUGAGUACACUCUAAACCCUUUAACGAGGAUCAAUUGGAGGGCAAGUCUGGUGCCAGCAGCCGCGGUAAUUCCAGCUCCAAUAGCGUAUAUUAAAGUUGUUGCGGUUAAAAAGCUCGUAGUCGAAUCUGUGUCCCGCGUCGCCGGUUCAUCGCUCGCGGUGUUCAACUGGCGUGUCGCGGGACGUCCUGCCGGUGGGCUAAGCUCGUUCGCGGGCGGCGCCCAACUUGAAAUCCCACCGCGGUGCUCUUGACUGAGUGUCGAGGUGGGCCGGCACGUUUACUUUGAACAAAUUAGAGUGCUUAAAGCAGGCUAAAAUUUCGCCUGAAUACUGUGUGCAUGGAAUAAUGGAAUAGGACCUCGGUUCUAUUUUGUUGGUUUUCGGAACCCCGAGGUAAUGAUUAAUAGGAACGGAUGGGGGCAUUCGUAUUGCGACGUUAGAGGUGAAAUUCUUGGAUCGUCGCAAGACGGACAGAAGCGAAAGCAUUUGCCAAAAACGCUUUCAUUGAUCAAGAACGAAAGUUAGAGGUUCGAAGGCGAUCAGAUACCGCCCUAGUUCUAACCAUAAACGAUGCCAGCUAGCGAUCCGCCGACGUUCCUCCGAUGACUCGGCGGGCAGCUUCC